rnacentral:lncRNA from 1 species
CCUUCAGUCCCUGAUUUGGGAGGCAGGUCAGGCUUUGUGUUUCUGUGCCCCGACACCUCAGCUGCCCAGCGGCCACGUUCAUGAGAAGGCAGCAAGUUCUCCUCCUCUACAGAAGGAUUUUGCAAGCAAUUCGGGAAGUUCCAAAUGAUUCUGAUCGCAGAUACCUGAAGGACUGGGCAAGGGAAGAAUUCAAAAGAAACAAAAAUGCCACCGAAGAGGAUACGAUCCGGAUGAUGAUUACUCAAGGCAAUAUGCAGCUCAAGGAGUUAGAAAAAACACUUGCCUUAGCCAGAUCUUAACUACAACAUUAUUCUGAAAGAUUUUGAAAGUUUCCAUGUAUUUAGUUGAGCUGAAGUUCAACAAUGGGCAGCCCCAAACCAAGUGAAACCCGUAUGUAAAGCCUCUCGGCAGGAUCUCAGAACAUGGAGAAUGGCAGUUCACAGAGAGAGUCAAGAAAAGUACGUCAGAGCAAUUGCCUCAGCACUGGAAAACUUACCUGUGUUUUGACAAUGUUUUUGGAUGGGUCAGCAGUUUUUGUAAGAAGCAAAAAUCAGUCUGAUAGAUGGUCAGCACAUAAAAAGAUGUUCAGCAGCAUUAAUCAUCAGGGAAAUGCAAAUAAAAACCACCCAGAGAUACUAUUCACAUCCACUAGAAUGGCAGUAAUUAAAAAGGGAGAAAAUUGGAAAUGUUGGUGAAGAACCUGGAACCCUUUUACAUUGCUGGUGGGACGAUGAAAUUGUGCAGCCUCUUUGGAAAACAGACUGAGUUGCCCAAAAGAGUAAAUAGCAUUAUUCAUGACAGCCAAAAAGUAGACAGUCCAAGUGCUCAUCAGUUGAUUUAAUGGUUGAGUAAAACCUGGUAUACCCAUACAAUAGAGUAUUAUUUAGCAAACAAAAAGGAAUGAAGUAUUGAUACAUGCUGCACCUGGAUAAAUCUUGAAAACAUUAUUAAGAGGCCAGUCACAAAAGAUCAUAUAUUAUGAUUCCAUUUAUGUGAAUGUACAACUCUUGAGUAUACAAAACCACCGAAUUACACAUUUUAUAUGUAUGGUAUAUGAAUUGUAUCUCAAUAAAGCUGUUUUUCCCCC